rnacentral:rRNA from 1 species
UACGUAGGGGGCUAGCGUUGUCCGGAAUCAUUGGGCGUAAAGAGCGUGUAGGCGGCCCGGUAAGUCCGCUGUAAAAGUCAAAGGCUCAACCUUUGAAUGUCAGUGGAUACUGCCGGGCUAGAGUCCGGAAGAGGCGAGUGGAACUCCUGGUGUAGCGGUGGAAUGCGCAGAUAUCAGGAAGAACACCCGUGGCGAAGGCGGUUCUCUGGGACGGUACUGACGCUGAGACGCGAAAGCGUGGGGAGCGAAACAGG